UCAGCGGCGGCAGCUCGGGAGCUGCGGGGCUGUGUGCAGCCGAGAUAAAUUUGGGUCUAAAGGGAUGACGUAAUGCUAAACCCGAGAGGUGGCUGCUGUCUCCCAGGGCUCCAGUCGCCAGGGCUGCCGGCUGACUUCCCAACCACAUGGAAACGCACCAAGCGACCCAGUCUGCAUUGCAGGAUUCAGUGAAUGUGCACUGCUAAGUGGCCUGCUUGCUCAUCCUGGAGAACACACCUGAACCCCGGACCUGGUGGGGGGCACCAAGGGGCUGGUGGUAUGGUAAGAAACUCAAAGGGGUGUCCCGUGAACGUUGCCUCAAAAUGUUUCACAGUUUGUAUUGUUUUUUUCUCUCCCCUUAAGCUGACUUCUCAGUGUUAAGUGUCCAUCUUUUUCGGUUCAGAGAAGUAUGUCCACAUAACAAAAGCCACAAGCUGGCAUACCCGUGGAGAAAGCAUUGAAACCUGGGCCUAAAGCUACAUGUUACCUUCUCAUCUCUAGAAUUUUCUUUUCUGAAUGACUCAUGUUUAAAAAAAGGAAAAUGUAAGAACACACAUACUAAAGUGGAGCUAAGUUUUCUGGUCUUUUCGACCUGUGGGGCCCCAACCUCAAUGCUUUAAAUGUCUGGAUUAAAUUACAUUCUUAAAGGGUCCCAAGGCAUCCCAAAUCUGCCUUUUUCUCUUCAAGGUUCAUUUUUUCCCUAAAGAAAGGUUACUCUGCCAGCUGCUUCUCUGGCCAUGAUGACCACAAGCCUCAGACCCAACUCCAGGGUCCCUCUGUGUAGCUCCUACCCCCAGGUCUCUGCGGCUGCCUUCCUUGGAAUGCCUCCUGAGACCUUUGACGCUGGUGUCACCGAAUCCUCCCCUGUAGUUUGUUUUUAUAGUCAUUUCUGCUGGUAGAUCUCAUGAUGUCAGCCACACCUGUGCAUAGAACCUGGCCUCUGCUCGGUGAUUAAAGCUUGCCUUGCCCUCCAAGGUCCCGGAUUCAAUCCCCAACACCACAAAAAUGAAUACAUUGCAAUUUUUGUUUUGUUUUAAGACAGAGUCUAACGUAGCCCAGGCUGGCCUCAAACUCACUCUGCAGCCAAGGAUGACCUUGAAUGCUCUGUUCCUCCUGCUUCCACGUCCCCAAGUGCUGGGACAGCAGGCAUGUGCUACCAUCCCAGCUAAUUUUCUUUCUUCUUGCUUUUUAUUUAGCUAUUUGAUUGUUGCAUUUAUCAGAUUUUGCUAGUGCAAAGAACCUUUUUAAAAAACAAACAAACAAACAAACUAAAUCCUUAUUUGUGUGUGUGUUUGUCUGCACACAGGCAUCUGAAUGCACACCCAUUCAGAGGUCAGAAGAGGACCUCGGGUAUCCUGCCCUAUCAUGUCGUGCUGCAUCUCUGAGCCUGGAGCCUGCUAGUUUUCAGCCGAGUUGAGUGGCCAACAAAGACAGUAAUCCUCCUGUCUCUGCACACAGCCACUGGGCCACGCAGACUUUGGUGCGAGUGCUGGCGACAGCAGGCAGUUACCUACUGACCAUCCCCUGUCCCAAUUAGAAGCAACUUGACUUUAAAGCCAUUAGAAAUAAUAUAUAAACCAUUUUUAAAAAGAGAAGGAGCUGAAUGUCUUGGGACACACCUUUAAUUCCAGAAGGCAGAGGCAGGUAGAUCUCUGUGAAUUUGAAGUCAGCCUGGUCUACAUAGCAGUUCCAGGCCAGAAGGGCUAUGUAGUAAGGCCCUGUCUUAAACAGGAACAAACUAAACUUUAAAAAAAAAAAAAAAAAAGCCAGAGACCAACCCCGCUGCUAAGACUGGGCCUUACAGUCCGCCAUGGCCCCAGUUCCCAUCACCCUCCUAACCCCUUUGAGGAAUUGGCCUGGAGUGGCCCUGCACCCUGCCCUCUGUGGAUAUCACCGCCCUUUCCUGGUGGCACAGACUGGGCACUAAGCCACAUGUCUAGCCCCUUCUGCUUCAGGUGCAGCAGUUACAAUAAAAAUACAGGCUCUUACCCAGGCGUGGUGGCGCACGCCUUUAAUCCCAGCACUUGGGAGGCAGAGGCAGGCGGAUUUCUGAGUUCGAGGCCGGCCUGGUCUACAGAGUGAGUUCCAGGACAGCCAGGACUACACAGAGAAACCCUGUCUCGAAAAAACAAAAACAAAACAAAACAAAACAAACAAACAAAAAAAAAAACCAGGCUCUUACUGGUCUGCCUGCAGAUAUGAAUGACAUCACCUCACCCUCACUUUCAGCUCCAACCUUGACUUUAGAAUGUUAGGAGUCUCCAGAGUGCCUAGAACAAAAUGAAUCCAUUUACCUACCAACUUGCUACCAUGCAACCGUGUCAGUCAGUGCUCUAUUGCUGCGAAGAGACACCGUGAUUAUGGCAACUCUUUUUGUAAAAGAGAACAUUUGAUUGGGGCUGGCUUAAGGUUCAAAUGUUUGAUCCUUAUCACAUCAAGAAGCAUGGCGGCAUACAGCCUAGAGUUCCACAUCUGGAUCUGCAGGCCACGCCCCAGUGACGCACUUCCUCCAAUAAGACCACACCUGCUCCAACAAGGCCACACCUCCUAAUCCUUUGAAGUUGCGCCACUCCCUAGGAUAGGAGGCCAUUUUCAUUCAGAUGCUCGCAUGCGCAGCACUGUGUCUAUAUUCAGCUCUUUAUUAUUUAUGUAUUAAUUUAUUUAUUAAUUCAUUUAUUUAUUUAUUAUAUGUAAGUACACUGUAGCUGUCUUCAGACACGCCAGAAGAGGGCGCCAGAUCUUGUUACGGAUGGUUGUGAGCCACCAUGUGGUUGCUGGGAUUUGAACUUAGGACCUUCAGAAGAGCAGUCAGUGCUCUUAACCACUGAGCCAUCUCUCCAGCCCCUAUGGUCAGCUUUUUAACCCUCAAUUUCUAAGAUUUUUGUUUGACAGAAGAAGUUCAGAAAGAGUAAAAAAUUUGCUCGAGGGAACAGGAGCAGCAACUAGAUUCAAAGCCAGAUCUUUGGACACUACCCCAUCCCACCCACCACCCCACACACAUUUGGCUAGAAAAAAUUGGCCAACAGUCUCACCUAUUCCUCUAGGCAGCUUUGGGGUGUGUUAGAAUGGGAUUCCCGUAGCCUUUAGCAGGCAGAAAACAAGGAUGCUCUAAGUCCUACAAUAUUCUAGACUAUUUACCAUCAUCUGAGCAUAGCUCUCAGCUUUUGUUUUGUUUUAUUUGAGGACUUUUUUCUCAAGCUAAGGUCUCAUUAUGUAGCCAAGGCUACCCUAAAAGUUGCUAUGUAUCCCACUCUAUCCUUAAACCCAAAAUCCUCCUGCCUCAGCCUUCCCAGGGCUGGGGUUCUAGCUGCAAACCACCACAAUGGGUACAAUAGUGUUCUUGUUAAAAGCUAACUCAGAAAAUUCAUCGUUCAGCAAAUAUGCCCCAGACCUCUUGCCAAAUGCUAUGCGCAGAUGAGAAAGGCUUGCUCCCCUGUCCCCAGGGCUCUCAUCUUCUGACACACAGACCGACGAUAAACAAGUAAAAAGCUGUAAAUCAUGAGGAGCGGACUAAUGCUUAAGUGAUGAAGCGUGCUAAACGCAGCCUCUGACUUAGCAGAUAGGGGAUGCAGCAGGGGCAGCCAAGCCUCGGGGGAAGGCAAGGGUACCCAUCCAAGAGCAUCGUGAUGCUCUGAAAACCACGGACGAAAGGUAUGGCAGGGAGUUUGGGUUUUGUCCUUCACGAGGCAGGAAACAAGACUUUAAAACAAGCAAGUAACCUGAAUCCAGUUAUUUUUCACAUUACUCUUGUUUCUAGAGCUCUACUCCGGACAGAAGGAGGUUAGCCCUGUGCUGUCCGACAGGAACCAUCUGGGCCACACUGUCCCUGCAACAACUGGGAGGGACCUCGAGCCCAUGGCGGAAAUCCACACUGCCUUCGACUUUGCCUUCUCAGCGGAAGCCCUUGGCGCCAAGCACCGGCCAGCCCAGUUGCCCUACAAGCUGGGGCGUCCCAGAAAGUCUUGGAGCCUAGCAGGGUGUGGAUCCACAGCCCAGACAGUCAGCCUCUGGUGCUACAGGUGCCCUACUGGUCCGGUGAGUUUCUCAGAGGGUGCUGGCAAGGUGGCUUUAGCAAGCAAGCAAGCAAAACUACCCCCCCCCCCAAGACCAUCAGCCUCCAGGGAAUGGCUUUUGUGUCAAUGCUGGGAAAACCCUGGAAGCUCCUGGCUGCUUCUCUCCACCCUAGGAUGGAUGGGGAGAAAAGGAAGUCCCUCUAGGAAGCUAUAUCUUCCUGGAGCCCUCAGCCUGUAACUCAAACACUCCAGACUCCCUCUCUUGCCUCUUGUUAUCUUGGCACUCCCUAAUCCCCCAAGGAAGAAGAGUGUGUUUAAGUCCCAGCCCUCUUGCUGCUAGCAUGUGGCCUUGGGAAAGUGAGCCAGCCCUGCUAAGCUGAAGCUAUGGGCAGCUAUAAAACUGCCUAUGGGAUGCUCGUGAGAACUUAAUGCAGAGCACUUAGCAUUGUGGAGCACACAGUAAAUGCUCAGUAAAAGGCGGGCAUUAGCAUCAUUCCUCCAGAGAACAGGAAGGCGCCUGCACUUGUCUCUUGGGAGAGAGACUGGGUAUCAGACUCCCGGGGGAGACAGCCUAGAACUGUGCAUUGUUUUCUCUUUGACUAAUACAUAAACCAGAGCAUGCACCUGAACUAAAGAGCAGACAGUCUUCACUCUCAGGGCACCACGCAGUUUGGCUCCCCACCAUUUUAGAUAUUUCUUGUUGCAUGAAGCUAAAUUCCAUGGCUGGUUUAAAAAAAAAAAAAAAAAAAAGGAUGAGGGAAAGUUGUAUGCAAGGCACUCUGAGUUUAAGAGACAAAGAGACAUGGAGACAUGACAGGGACCGGCAGGCUGCCAUAGGAGGUAACUGGGGGUGGGGUGGAGGGCAUUCUGUAGCUCUGGCACCUCAGAGAUAAAAACAAGGAAGACACCAGCUCCCCGUGCCACCCGUGGCUAGAAGUUACAUAGCCUGGACCUGCCCUCUACUUUAAUACAAUGGAUUGCCUAUUAGAACUCUAAACCAUCUUCAUUCUUGCAUCCUUGUAGCGACACUAGAUAGACAAAGUAAAACAUUUCAGCUACUUGAUAGACCAAAUCUCUCCUUUUUGAUUUAAGCUUGAAUUCUCCUAAUCAUGUCCUCCCUCAGGACAGCGUGGUUAUCUUUGUAAUUGUCUGUGCUUCAGUCUCUUAGGAGACAUUGGAGCUGGGUGGCCAAGGGCAUGCUGUCUGGACAGUGGAAGGGUAGUGUGACUGGUAAAGAGGACCCUCAAAUGCAGAAGGCCCACCAGAUCUGUUGAUGUUAAGAGGGCAAACAUAAAAUCACAAAGCAUUUUAAAUGUUUCACUGAGGGCUGGGGAAGAGGAGUGCACACAGGAAGACCUUCCUCUCCCCCCCACCCCCCCAUAUACACGAAAGGGUUUCUCUGUAUAGGCCUCGCUGUCCUGGAACUCACUCUGUAGACCAGGCUAGCCUAAAAUUCAGAGAUCCGCCUGCCUCUGCCUCCCGAGGGCUGGAAUUAAAGGCAUGCACCACUGUGUCUGGCUGGAACUCCUUUUGGAACCUCAGGAUGAGUUUUUAUUCUAUCCAUAAUGUCCAUAGAGCCAAAGACACAAACCUCAAGUCAGAUCCUGCCCCCGCACUGGUGGCUGGGAUUCACUUUGAGGCAACUGAGCUCCUGAGUAGGGAUGUGGCUCACUCAGUUGGUGGGCACUUGCCUACCAUGCAUGACACCAGCAUUGGAUUCUCCAGCACCCAUAACAGAAUGCCUAGAAUCCAAGCACGGGGUGAAUCACAAGUCAAACAGCAUCCUCAGCCAUCUUUCAUGGCUAGCCUGGGCUACAUGAGACCCCUUUUUUUUUAAAGGGUAACUAAAAUGUUUUAAUCCUGACAUUGAAAUUGAGUAUACAUGCAUUCUGUGAAGGUAACAACUGCUAGAACCUAGCACCGUGCUAACCCUAUGGUACAUAUACACUCCUUAAGUAACAGUUUAACAAGUAACUGGGCUAAUGCACAGAACUGAUUUAGGGAGAAAUUCCUGUUCCACAAUGUAACUCUGUCUUAUUAAAGCAGUUGCCACAAAAGCCUUCAAGAGGAAUUUCUCUGGUCUAAAAUAUCUUGAAAGGGAUCCUGUUUAUGUGCUUCCUGGAGACUUUGUUGCUUAAAGCAAGAGUCACCUGAACUUUCAAAAUGUUUCACAAGUGAGGGGCCCAGCCCAGCAUCCUGCUCAGAUGAGGAAGCAAAGACUGAGCCUCCAGCCCAGGAUAACAGUGGCAGGUGCCCAUUGGUCUGAGCCAGAGAAAUGAAGCCAGACUUUGAGGGCUUUAAGACCUCUGGCCAGGCUGCUCCGAGACAAUGGGGUCAGAGGCAGUUGCUGCCAUAAGUUUAGAAAAGAUCCAGAGGGUAGGUCCCCCUCCACGCCCAUCCCAGGCUCUCCCUUCCUCUCUCUGUCUCCCUCCCUCCCCUCUCUUCUCUCCCUUCCCCAGGCUCUGAGUCUAGAACCCCACCCAAUGUCCUUGUUCAAGCUUAGAAUGGCCACCAGUGUCACCAGCUCCUGUCUCCUUCCCCGCCACCCCUCAUCUGUGCGAGAAAAUAUUUUUCUUAGUGCAGCAAAGUCAAAUUAGCUUCAUUUUGAAAGACUACAGAGAAUGUUGCAAUGACCUUUGCAAUAACCAGACACACCCUGGGCUCAGUAAACCAGGCUUGAGAACUGCUGAGCUUAUGAGCACCUGACCUGUAAGACAAAAGCUAUUUGGGGCUCUAUCUAUGACCCAGUCUCCUAUCACACAGAUGAGAACACGGCACAGAAAGGCCUUGUUCUGCCUCUGCUGUGACACUGCGGGCAAGCCACUGUCCCUCUCUGGGCCUCGGCCUCGUUGCUCCGUAGUAAGGACGCUCUGUGGUUUCUGGCAUGCCCUGUGGUCAAGAUGCUGCCUUUAGCACCUGCCUCCUGUAAACCCCAAACUGAAAACAGAGGGCAAAAAAGAACGGGGUUCCUGCGCACUGAAAGCCGCUUGCUUUGUCCUGCAGAAGGUCGUGUCUCUUACUCACUUGUCUCUUUCUGAUUCUUUUUUUCCCCCCUUCUCUUCCUUAAAGAAAAAGAAACUGAAAAGCCACAAAACCACAACUCACCUCCCCAAAACGGGUCACUUGGAAGCCAGGGCCGUGUGGGGUUAGGUGUGCCAGGCCUGACAUGCUGGUGGUAUCUAAGUGAAAACCAAGCUAGGGCAAGCAUGUAUUUCUCCUCCAGAAACCCAGUUUAAAUCAAUAUUUAUCCAACUGUAUUUAUAGAAAGUGAUGGUAGGAGCAGGGGGUGGGGCAGAGAGUCAGGGGGAUCUAAAACUGUACAAUCCACAAAGACUGAUACAAAUCAUAAUCUUGGUGGCCAAUGGGACCUGGCUCUUUUAUUUAUUUAUUUUUAUUUUAUUUUAUUUUAUUUCAUUUUAUUUUAUUUUUUGGCAAAAGACUCAGCAUUUGAUGAACCUGCUGCUGGCCUCAGUACCAUAGCGACAGCCCUAGAUCCUCUAAUAUGCCCACAGGACAGACUUGGGAUAAGGCAACAGGAGGGGGUAGUGAGUGUUUCCUAGGAGCCCUGAACUUGAGUUAAGGCCAGGAGAGUUGAAUAACUGAGAACGGAGGAGGGGGGUAUGGGUGGGGGAGAACCAACCCUCUCUGGUUGGCUACUCUUGACUUACGUCCCACUUUUCUACACAAGGUGUGUACAGGAAGGCUUUGGAAAAUCAACAGGGUGUUCCAAAUACCAGCCCUGUUUCAUGUUGCCAGGUGACCUUAAGCAAGUCAUUUCAAAUCCGCCUGGACUUCAUUCCUUAGCUGUAAAAAGAGUACACGUGUAUACGGUUGAAGGUAUAUGGGCUCUGGAGCUAGAGGCCCAGGUGGCAAACAGCUCUACCACCUACUAGGCACAUGAUCUUUGGGGAAGUUACCCAGCAUCCCUGCACUUCAAGUCCUCAACUCCUGCUGCAAAGUAGAGGUAAUAAAAUUGUGCACGCUAUAGAAAAGAGAACUCCCGGCUGGUCCUCAUGCUAACCCUUGGGAGUCAACACUGGAAGUAUGCAGUAGGAUUGGAAGCCACAGCUUGGCUAUGCUGGCACCCUCUGUUUCCCAGUUUCAUCUCUAUAUGUUUGCUCAGCCAUCUCCAGAUGAAGACCUGUUCCUGGGUGAGCCCUGGGAGAGUGUUGGAGUUGAGAGCAGUGUGAGCACCGGCUGCUUCCGCUUUGUAGUUGAUGGAGCCUCCUUCCCUGACCUCCAUAGCAACAACAGCUCAAUUCAACUUCCUUAGUUUCCUCAAGUCUCACCUUCAGCCCCUGGGUCCCCUUCACCUGGAAUCUCUGGAGUUCCGAGAGCCACAAUGACAUUCUCGUCUACUUCUGGCAUCUACUACGUUUUAAACCCGUACCAAAUCCAAAAACACAGUUUAAAACGUGGACAAAAAUGGGGGCCUGAUUUAGCAAUGAUCUUUACAAUCUCUUCUGAAAAUGAACCCCCUACCUCUCCACCCCACUGUGACUCACCCCACAGAGCUUGCAGGGGAAAGAAGUUGAUCAGAGAGUAGACACUUGGUGCUUAUUAUGAGUCAGUGGGUUCAUCCAAAGAUGCCUCCUGUGUAGAGUGGUAACCUGUUUGAACAUUAAUGCCCUCCGUCUCAGCACAAGUCACUCCAGAGCCGUCUUUCUAAGCAAGGACUUAUUCAUUCUUCCGAUCACAGCUGUUGACAGUAUGUAGAUGCAGCUAGCCAGACGACCUGACCCACUAUCUACUUUGCAGGUCCUGGACUUGCUGACCCCCCAAACACUCAGAACCCAGCAUUUCCAGCUUCGAUCAUGUCUUUGAUCUCCAAACCUGAUCACAUGCCAUAGCCAAGAAAUGGCAAAGGCAGCCCAUUAAGAAAUCUAUAGCAAGUACCUACUAUCCAAAUGAUGCAUACGAAAACACUGUAGGUGCUCUGGUCCUGUAAGGCCUGAAUAACCGGGCUGGGGCGAAGGCUCAGCGAGGAAAGCAUCUGCCACUCAAGCAUGCAGUCCUGAGUGUGGGUCCCUAGUACCCCCUGUACAAGCCAGGUGUGGUAUUGCCCAUCGGUGACCCCAGUGCUGGGGGCAGGGCAGAGGCAGGCAAAUCCCAGGAGUUCACUGGCUAGCCAUUCUAGCCAAUCAUUGAGUUCCAAGUUCAUUAAGAGACGGUCUCAAAAAAUACCCCUGGCCUCCACGGGGCACACGUGAGAGAAGCACACACACACACACACACACACACCCAACACACAACUGAAUGUCUGCAUAUACCACACUCAUACACACACAAGAUGUUGUUAUUCUCCCUGCAGAGACAAAGCUAACACAGGGGAAACAAGUAGAAGAUUGUGAGAGCUCAGGGGAAUUUCCAUUUUAAACAAUUAGGUAUACAUGUGACUGUGUGUGUGUACAAGUGUGUGCAUGUACCAAAUGCAUAUAGGGACCCAAGGAGGUCAAAAGAAGGUGUUGUAUCCCUAGGGCCAAGGCAGUUGUGACCUGCUUGCUGUGUGUGCCAGAGACAGAACUGCGAUCCUUAACUGCUGAGCCGUCUCUCCAGCCCCAGAAGUUACCAUUUAUUGAGCAUGCACUGUGUCUCAGGUGACCCAGUCGCUCUGUGAUGAUGUAAGGGAGGUGCUAUCAUUAUGCUCACACAAUGCAGCCUCAGAGAAGCUGAGGAACUUGCGUCCAAACAACAGUAGGAAUUUGGACCUCUGAUCCUUCUGACUGCCAAGCAUCACACACUCUCGAAACUAAUCUGACCCCCAAAUUGACACCCAGUGAUCUGAAGCAGCCCAUAGGCUUCAAGGAGGAGGGUAGGGACCGGCCUACGUCAUGAAGGAAGGGUAGGACACAGAAACCCUGCGGAGUAGGAGAACGAGGGCGUCCUCCACUGAGCCAAACACAGGGGCAUGACUGUGAAGCCUGAUAGCUGGUGGACCUGCUGGACUGGAGUUGAGGUUUCAUGUCCAGGCAGAGGAGGUUAAGUCAGGAAGGCAGGGUGGGGCCAAAUGACACCACGCAGCAGCAACUUCCAGCACCAGCUUCCUACACCAACAGGAAGAAGCUGUUUCAGGGCCUACCCAUUCCCCUAGGAACACACCCUACCUCCAACCCAGGCAGUCUACACCAGAAAGUAAACUGUGGCUUCUAUCCCCACCUUGUCACUUUCCCUGUCUGAUGCCACCUCCAAAGACCUGCCCCAAAUGCUGAAAGCCAUCUUUCCCCUCUAGACCUUAACUUUUUCCACUCUGAGGGGGCUUACUUGUUUUUAGGACUUAAAUGUGCAUGUUAUGUGUACAUCUGUAGAAAGCCCCGUGGAGGCCGGAGGUCCUUGAAGCUUGAGUUACAGGUGGCUGUGAGAUACCCAACGUGGGUACUGAGAACGCAACUCAGGCCCUUCUGUAAGAAGAGCGUGCACUCUUAACCGCGAAGACAUGCAUAUAGGUGAUGAUGUCACAGGCUAUUUCCAAGUCUGUGAUAACAGGGCCACUGCCUACAUGAUAAAUACUUCUGGAAGCUUUUGAGAUCCACAGAUUCACACCAGGUGACAUUUCGGGAGACUGUACCUAUAUUACCCUCAGGAAUUUCUUCCCUCGGAUGUACUACAGGGUCAACACUGAGUAUUUGAACUCCUCCCUCACGAAAAAUCACCCCAUCUAAUGGAAAUAAUUCAUCACUGCGGCCAAAACUUGGUGAACACUCCCAGUACGGAAACCUCAAAGAGGCAAUAAAAAGGAGUUCUGGCUGCAGUGGAAAAUAAGCCAAGCUCCGGCCAAGUUGAGUACUUUGCAAACACUGAAAACCAAACGUGUGAACGCGUGACCAGACGCUACCGACGCACCUCAAAACACAGCUCAGCGAACCCGAAAUGGAGUCGAAAGGGCAGGCACUUGUCUAAGAGAAGAGAGCCCCUUUAAGAAAAGACUGGACCAGCUGGCUGCACUACAGCGCCUAGUGAUUUCCUGGCUCACGUCCUGGCUCCGCCCCCCAGCCUCGGGCCUCAGCAACGCGUGACGUCACGAGAGGCGGAUGCUGCCGAUUGGCUGGACGAUACAGCUAGGUCAAGUCCAGUCGGAGGAAAGAAGUUUGUCUCCAUGUGGAAACCAUGUGUCUAGCGCUGGGAGGGGGAGGAGGAGGAGGCGGAGAAACUGAGAUCAAGUGAUUACAGGGGAACUCGCUGAAAUGAAGGCGGGGAGGUUGUGCACCUGAAUCAGCCAGCCAUACCCUUUGCAGUAGUGACCUAAAAUAAAAAAAAUAAAAAAAGACUCGCACAACAAAAACAACAACAACAAAACCUUGGACACCCACCCCCAUCAUAAUAACUACAAAGCAUAGGUGGGGAGGAGGGUUUUUACUUCCUCCAAAAAGCCUGGGGCAGGGAAAUGCUGGAAUCCUAUCGGAACGCCCAGAUCUAACCACCCCCCAACAACUGAAUGAUGUAAGCGUUUCGGAAAGCAGAGCUCUGGAGCAAAACAAGCCCCGCGCGCGCGGAGCGACCCGCAGUGCCCGAGCCCGGCGCACGCACGACCCGCCCCCCGACUCGCGUUAUUGCUGUGCACACGCGGACCGCCGUGACGCGCGGGCAUUGUGUGCAGCGAGCAGAAAACAACGGCGAGCGCCCGCUGCGCGGAGAAGCGCCCCCAAUAAAGCAAGACAGAUGUAGGGCCCGGCGUUUGCCGUACUGGGGGGACCCAGUCCGCUCGAGGGAGGAAGAGCGUGGGGGGCGAAUAAAGUGGCCAGAGUGAGCCGCUUCUGUUAGCAAGGGUGGACAAUCUGGGGGUCCGACGAGUGGUCUCCUGGAGUUUGCGGGAGGGUCACCCUCGCCUGCGUGAGCUGUCGCGGAGGGAGCGAGGGCCUGCAGCCGAAUCGCUGCAGCCGAGCCAGGCACGGCGCAGCGCCCCACGCUCUCGGGGAAAUCUGGGGGCUGUUGGCAUCACGUCAUUUCGAGCCAAACAGCAGCGGCGAAAAGACGCGAGAGUGCUAAAAAUACUCCCGCGGGGAGCCGGUCGGAGGAGGGGGGCUGCGGGCCGAGGGGCUGAUUACGCACAUGAAGUUGACUUUGACUGGGGUGCAGAGGCUCUCGAGCCCCUCUCCAUGGCCGGCCGUCUUGCAGAGAGGACACCCAGGGAGAGGGUCCGAGAGGAAGCCCCUUAACUGCACCGGCCUCUGGAACCUUGGCUCGGCCACCACGGGCCCGCCCCGCGCGGGGCAGCCCAGCCGGGCGCGCCCGGCUCUCUGCUUACGUGACUAGUGGCCACGCCGGAGCCCCGACACGGGGUCUGUGAGCUUUCGAAAACCCACUGGGAGUCUUCAAGCUGGGCCAUGGAGCUGACCAAAGCCAAAAUAAACAAUGGCUUGAAGAAAAUCUACCAUAAAGUGCUGAUUUGCACGAUUCCCACAGCAAGCCGUGGCCCCCACCAUCACUCCCAUGGAAAACACCACUGCUGGGGCCAAAUCAAGUUUCCCCCCAUGGACGGGGCAUUGUUUUUUGUUAUUAUGUGAGUUCUCAGCGUCAGACAAUGGCACCACAAGAGACACAGUGGAGGCAGGAGAAGUGCUUUUUUGUUUCACGGAAUCUUUUUGCAGUUGUGCCCCCAGCGUCUUGCGUGAAGUUUUAGUUGCAUAUAUUCAUUUUGGUAGCAUGUAUGUGAACAAUGAAUGUGCCAGGCUAAAGCCUGAAGUCCCUUCCUUAUUUUUUUUUUCGGAGCCUAUCAAGUGUUAAAUCAUAUUAGCAUCGCCUUGCACGCUCUCGCGCUCUCUCUCAAGCUCGCUCUCUCCCUCCUCCCCCUCACACCUCCCAAUUAACAGAUUCUCUAAUAAAGUUUGGCCCCCGCAGAAAGAGUGGUACGUCAGGGGUUCUAUCACAGGUCAGGCAUCCAGGAUGCGGGGUUACAAGCUCAGCUCCAUUCCUGCUUAGCUUUGCUUCCCAGGAGGAACCAUUCAAGCCCUUUGGAACCCUUCCUCCCUCUCUCUCCCUCCCUCCCUCCCUCUCCCUCCUCCUCCCUCUCUCUCUCUCUCUCUCUCUCUCUCUCUCUCUCUCUCUCUCUCUCUCUCUCUCUCUCUCGGGCUUUGAUUCCAGAAGUAAACAGGCCUCUUUGGAAACUUGCUGAGAAUAUCUGCAGAGAACAGGUAGGGGACAGCUGCCCUGAUCAGAAGGUAUGUGAACUGGGGAAGAAAAGCAGAAACGCCUAAUGAGGCCAACUAGGACCCUCUGGUUGGUCCAGGGAGUGGGUUGCCUGCUCAGCCUAGGUCUUGUUUUCCUGACUGCCUGUUUGUUGGGCUUAUUUGUUUGGUGUUGUUUGUCUAUCAACCUCGUUUACAUAUUAAAGUGAGAUUGUUCCUGAUUUA